CCCUUAGAUGUUCUGGGCCGCACGCGCGCUACACUGAAGGGAUCAGCGUGUUUUCCCUUCCCGAGAGGGACGGGUAACCCGCUGAACCCCCUUCGUGGUAGGGAUCGGAGCUUGCAAUUGUUCUCCGUGAACCAGGAAUUCCCAGUAAGCGCAAGUCAUAAGCUUGCGUUGAUUACGUCCCUGCCCUUUGUACACACCGCCCGUCGCUACUACCGAUUGAACGUUUUAGUGAGGUAUUUGGACUGGGCCUUGGGAGGUUUCGGCCUCCCUUGCUGCUCGGAAAGACUCCCAAACUUGAGCGUUUAGAGGAAGUAAAAGUCGUAACA
rnacentral:rRNA from 1 species